GACGAACGCUGGCGGCGUGCCUAAUACAUGCAAGUCGAACGCAGUGGGGACGGGUGAGUAACACGUGGGUAACCUCCCAUCAGAGGGGAUAACACUUGGAAACAGGUGCUAAACCGAUACUGAUGGAUGAACCCGCGGUGCAUUAGCUAGUUGGUGGGGUAACGGCUCACCAAGGCCACGAUGCAUAGCCGACCUGAGAGGAUGAUCGGCCACACUGGGACUGAGACACGGCCCAGACUCCUACGGGAGGCAGCAGUAGGGAAUAUUGGGCAAUGGGCGAAAGUCUGACCCAGCAACGCCGCGUGAAUGAAGAAGGUUUUCGGAUUGUAAAGCACUGUUGGUGGAGAAGCGUUAUCUGACCAGAAAGCCACGGCUAACUACGUGCCAGCAGCCGCGGUAAUUC
rnacentral:rRNA from 1 species